UACGUAGGGGGGCAAGCGUUGUCCGGAUUUAUUGGGCGUAAAGAGCGUGUAGGCGGCCAGAUAGGUCUGUUGUGAAAACUCGAGGCUCAACCUCGAGACGCCGAUGGAAACCAUCUGACUAGAGUCCGGAAGAGGAGAGUGGAAUUCCUGGUGUAGCGGUGAAAUGCGCAGAUAUCAGGAAGAACACCCGUGGCUAAGGCGGCUCUCUAGUACGGUACUGACGCUGAGACGCGAAAGCGUGGGGAGCGAACAGG
rnacentral:rRNA from 1 species